GUGGGGAAUUUUGGACAAUGGGCGCAAGCCUGAUCCAGCAAUGCCGCGUGUGUGAAGAAGGCCUUCGGGUUGUAAAGCACUUUUGGCAGGAAAGAAAUAGUGCGUGCUAAUACCAUGCGCGAAUGACGGUACCUGCAGAAUAAGCACCGGCUAACUACGUGCCAGCAGCCGCGGUAAGACGUAGGGUGCAAGCGUUAAUCGGAAUUACUGGGCGUAAAGCGUGCGCAGGCGGGUUUGUAAGACAGGUGCGAAAUCCCCGGGCUCAACCUGGGAACUGCACUUGUGACUGCAAGGCUAGAGUGUGUCAGAGGGAGGUGGAAUUCCGCGUGUAGCAGUGAAAUGCGUAGAGAUGCGGAGGAACACCGAUGGCGAAGGCAGCCUCCUGGGAUAACACUGACGCUCAGGCACGAAAGCGUGGGGAGCAAACAGGAUUAGAAACCCCUGUAGUCC
rnacentral:rRNA from 1 species